ensembl:lncRNA
CCUGCUUGCCCCACCUCCCCUGGGGCAGCUGGGACCAGUUUGCACCGUUGUCCUCUAGAAUGAAAGUCAUGGAGCUUUCUUCUGGUUUGGGGGCAAGCUGAACACAGGUGAAAAGACCUCUUGGAACAAGAGUGGGAACAAGAAAUGGGUGCUCUCAGUUCAACAGGCUGACUGGUGCUUGGAAAAAAAAUAUUUCUGAAGUGCCAGUUUCAAUUGGGUUGAUUGUCUCUACAAUGAGCUUCCCAUACACUUCUGGAAGAUUUUGUUUCAGUUGGGGUUGAGCAUGGCUGUCUCUGCCUCUAGAGGUUACAAAUUUUCGUUUGAUUUAGGUGUAUUUUUCUUUGUUUGCUUUUAAUCUGUCUUUGAACAAAAGUGGAAAAAACCCACAAACAAACUCAGAGCUCCUUUUUCACUGCCCUGUCUCAGGGUUUUUAACCUGUGUGCAGAACAAGAGAAUCCUUCUUGGAUCUUCAGAAGCCCGAAGGAAAGAAAACAAAAACUUUCUGCUGUGUCAGCCACCUGAGAGGCCUCAUUCAGGGUCAUGCAACAUUGUGUGGGGAGACAGACCCUGCACCCACGACCAGAGGAAAUGGAAAUGAGUGUCCAAGUGGAAACCACAGCUCUUGUGCUGGCCUGGAGCAUCCUUCUCCUGCCUGGUGUUUGCCUCUCAGCAGAAGCCAGCAGUUCCCAGCAGCAAUCCGUGAUGCCAGGGCUGAGACAGAGCUGGUGUUACCACAGUCAGUGAACAUCCAAGGGAAAUGCUGCAGGAGCAGAAGUCCCUGGAGGCAGCUGGACAUCCCUUGGGUCAGCCUGGAGGAUCAGCACCUUGGUCCACAGGUCCUGAGGGGCUGGCUGGGAGCUGCAGGGAGCACAGGGAGGGUUUCUUGUCCCUCUCCUCCAGUGGAUGUGCAGUGGAUCCAGGGCAGCUGUGCUCAGGGCUCAGCACUUGCAGCCAGCACCUCCAGUGCCCUGCGGAUGCCCUGGAGCUGCCGUGUCCUGGGACCCCCUUUGGGGGGCUCUGGGAUCUGCUGGAGUGCUCCCAGCUCUGCUGCCUGCUCACCCCUAUCAGAAUCUUCCUUUCAUCUGCAGAGGCAAGCUGGAAGCUGCUGGAGAAAUCCAAUCAAUCGUAAAUAUAAAAUAAGUUUUGAAAAACUUUGCAGUCUUUAUGGCUUCUGCACACUUAAUGCAAUUUUAAUACAUUUCUGGUUUCCCUGUGUGGGCUGCCUGGCUAGGUUCCAGCAUGAAACAUGGAGCUUUGUAAGUAAGAACUCUGUCAUUCAGUAUUUCUUAGCACCAUUGUGAAUUGAAUUACAUAUGAUGACCUGAGAGUAAAUGCAACCAGGAUUUUCUGAUUGUUUAUUGCUUUAAAGAUGCACCUGUGGUCAGAGUUUUCCUCCUGGUUAGCGAGGUAUUGACUGUUUUUAAUGAAAAUGGUUUUUAAAAUAAUUAAAAUAUGUGAAGGAGAUGGCUGAAGUCUGAGCAGUCUGAGCACAGACUUCCCAAUCUGAGUCCUGUGUUGGCUUCUGAGCUGAGGUGAUGUGGGCUGAAGCUGCCUGCUGAGACUGUAAUGACCCAGCAGGCUGGGGACACCUUUGGCCAGAGCAGGCUGCAGCAGCAUCACUCAUGUGGGUCUCUGGCUUGCCAGCAGACCCUGUUUCUCUCAGAAAA